AAUAAGUGUAGCCAUGAGUUUCCGAACCCAACUUUGAUCGUCCGUUUUAUUUGAAAUUUUUUUAUAAUUAGCAGUUUUGUUGUUAUAAGAUGAUAAAACAUGAAUAAUACUUUACUCAUGACUUAUGUUUUUAAUUUUUUUAAAAAAAAAUUCAAAUAAGACGAACGGUCAAAGUUGGAUGCUGAAAAUCAUGUCUGUACUUAUU
rfam:Oryza sativa (indica cultivar-group) chromosome 3, whole genome shotgun sequence.